ACUGCUCAGUAACACGUGGAUAACCUGCCCAAGGGUCUGGGAUAACCCCGGGAAACUGGGGAUAAUACCGGAUGGAUCACUCAUGCUGGAAUGCUAGGUGGUCGAAAGGCAACGCCCUUGGAUGGGUCUGCGGCGGAUUAGGUUGACGCCGGUGUAACGUACCGGCGUGCCUGUAAUCCGUACGGGUUGUGGGAGCAAGAGCCCGGAGAUGGAUUCUGAGACACGAAUCCAGGCCCUACGGGGCGCAGCAGGCGCGAAAACUCUACAAUGCAGGCAACUGCGAUAGGGGGACAUCGAGUGGCAUCCACCUUGGGUGCCUGUCCAACCGUCUAAAAAACGGUUGUUAGCAAGGGCCGGGUAAGACCGGUGCCAGCCGCCGCGGUAAUACCGGCGGCUCGAGUGGUGGCCGAUAUUAUUGAGUCUAAAGGGUCCGUAGCCGGCUUUGCAAGUCCCCUGGGAAAUCCAGCGGCUUAACCGUUGGGCUUUCAUGGGAUACUACAUUGCUUGGGACUGGGAGAGGUAGGAGGUACUCGGGGGGUAGGGGUGAAAUCCUGUAAUCCUCCGGGGACCACCGGUGGCGAAGGCGUCCUACCAGAACAGGUCCGACGGUGAGGGACGAAAGCUAGGGGCACGAACCGGAUUAGAUACCCGGGUAGUCCUAGCCGUAAACGAUGCCCGCUAGGUGUCACGACGGUCGUGAAUCGUCGUGGUGCCGUAGGGAAGCCGCGAAGCGGGCCACUUGGGAAGUACGACCGCAAGGUUGAAACUUAAAGGAAUUGGCGGGGGAGCAC
rnacentral:rRNA from 1 species